rnacentral:rRNA from 1 species
UACAGAGGGGGCAAGCGUUGUUCGGAAUUACUGGGCGUAAAGCGUGCGUAGGUGGUUCGUUAAGUCUGUUGUGAAAGCCCUGGGCUCAACCUGGGAAUGGCGAUGGAUACUGGCGAGCUAGAGUACGGUAGAGGAUGGUGGAAUUCCCGGUGUAGCGGUGAAAUGCGUAGAGAUCGGGAGGAACAUCAGUGGCGAAGGCGGCCAUCUGGACCAGUACUGACGCUGAGGCACGAAAGCGUGGGGAGCAAACAGG